rnacentral:rRNA from 1 species
GACGAACGCUGGCGGCGUGCUUAACACAUGCAAGUCGAACGAUGAACCCGGAGCUUGCUCCGGUGGAUUAGUGGCGAACGGGUGAGUAACACGUGAGUAACCUGCCCUUGACUCUGGGAUAACUGCGGGAAACUGUAGCUAAUACCGGAUACGACCCUCGGCGGCAUCGCCAGGGGGUGGAAAGAAUUUCGGUCAAGGAUGGACUCGCGGCCUAUCAGGUAGUUGGUGAGGUAACGGCUCACCAAGGCGACGACGGGUUGCCGGCCUGAGAGGGUUGCCGGCCACACUGGGACUGAGACACGGCCCAGGCUCCUACGGGGGGCAGCAGUGGGGAAUAUUGGAAAAUGGGCGCAAGCCUUAUUCCGCAACGCCGCCUGAGGGGUGACGGCCUUCGGGUUGUAAACCUCUUUUAGUAGGGAAGAAGCCAAAGGGACGGUUCCUGCAGAAAAAGCCCCGGCUAACUACGUGCCAGCCGCCGCCGUAA